rnacentral:rRNA from 1 species
UACGUAGGGUGCAGGCGUUAAUCGGAAUUACUGGGCGUAAAGCGUGCGCAGGCGGUUUGUUAAGACAGAUGUGAAAUCCCCGGGCUCAACCUGGGAACUGCAUUUGUGACUGCAUCGCUGGAGUGCGGCAGAGGGGGAUGGAAUUCCGCGUGUAGCAGUGAAAUGCGUAGAUAUGCGGAGGAACACCGAUGGCGAAGGCAAUCCCCUGGGCCUGCACUGACGCUCAUGCACGAAAGCGUGGGGAGCAAACAGG